UACGAAGGGGGGCUAGCGUUGCUCGGAAUCACUGGGCGUAAAGGGUGCGUAGGCGGGUCUUUAAGUCAGAGGUGAAAUCCCGGAGCUUAACUUCGGAACUGCCUUUGAUACUGGGUGUCUUGAGUGUGAGAGAGGUAUGUGGAACUCCGAGUGUAGAGGUGAAAUUCGUAGAUAUUCGGAAGAACACCAGUGGCGAAGGCGACAUACUGGCUCAUUACUGACGCUGAGGCUCGAAAGCGUGGGGAGCAAACAGG
rnacentral:rRNA from 1 species